CCUACGGGAGGCAGCAGUGAGGAAUAUUGGUCAAUGGGCGGGAGCCUGAACCAGCCAAGUCGCGUGAGGGAAGACGGUCCUAUGGAUUGUAAACCUCUUUAGGCGGGGAGCAAUGCCGGGCACGCGUGCCAGGAGGGAGAGUACCCGCAGCAUAAGCAUCGGCUAACUCCGUUCCAGCAGCCGCGGUAAUACGGAGGAUGCGAGCUGUAUCCGGAUUUAUUGGGUUUCAAGGGUGCGUAGGCGGAUUUUUAAGUCAGCGGUAAAAUGUCCGGGCUCAACCCGGGCCGGCCGUUGAGACAGGGGAUCUUGAGUGGGCGAGAAGUAUGCGGAAUGCGUGGUGUAGCGGUGAAAGGCAUAGAUAUCACGCAGAACUCCGAUUGCGAAGGCAGCAUACCGGCGCCCGACUGACGCUGAGGCACGAAAGCGUGGGGAUCGAACAGGAUUAGAUACCCCUGUAGUC
rnacentral:rRNA from 1 species